UUUAAGAGCUCUCCUCAAUGGCUUUCUAUCUAGAUAGUUUCUGGUUUUAUCGGGAGAGAGGUUGUCACAGAGGCCUUCUAUGUCUCUCAUUCUCGACUGUGUGUCUGCAGUGAUCAAUACCACUGCAAAAGAAGCCUUGCCCUUUACAGUCCUUGGAAGCAUGAACCAUGGGCAUCCCCAUGGCCUCAGGCACCAGCAUGGAGCACAGACCUCAGUGUGGUCUCCGGCAGCAGAAUAAACCAUGGACAUCAACAUGACCCUCAGCUGUACCAUGGACAAUGGACACUAUCAUGGCCCUUGGUGGUAGCACAAGACAAGGACAUCAACAUGGCUUCAGGUGGCAGCAUAGACCAUGGAAAUCCACAUAGCCUUAGGUACUAACAUGGGCCAUGGACAUCAUAUGAUCCUCCGAUUUCCAGCAACAGCAGGACCACACACACAUCAACAUCCAUCCCCACCCUAUCCCAGUCCUCUUAUAGGUCUGGUGCCCUCUGGGGUUUAGUGUCUUCUAUUCUACUGACUCAGAAUAAGCUUAUGAUUUUUGUAGGAGGCUACUCCUGUCAUCUGGAAGUGUGGAAUAGCGGAAAAGUGAUCCAGUGUCCACAUCAUGCCCUCCGUUGGCCUGUCUCACAUGCAGCAUCUCCAAGUUCAGGGUCUCUGAGUGUCUAGGGAGAAGGUGGCUCUCAGCAACUCCCUGCUUCCCUGCUAGGCCAUUCUCUCUUAACGUCACUAUGAGCACUCUUGUCUUUCUGAAGCCCUUUAAUUAUAACUUUGUUAUUUUAGUGUGUGUGUGUGAGGGUGUGCGAGUGUGUGCACAGGUAUGGGUGCUGAGAAUAACUCUGGGUGCUCUUCCUCAUGUACAGUUUACCUUUGCCUUGAGUCAAUGUCUCUCACUGGCCUGGGUCUCACCAAGUGGGUUAUUUGGGCUGCCUGGUGAACCCCGGGGAUCUCUUGUCACUGCCUCCUCACUCCUGGGAUUAGAAACUCGUGCCACUGGCUUUGUCACAUGAACUCUGGAGAUCCAAACUCAGGCCCUCAGGCUUGUGUGACAAAUGACUUGUCCACUGGGCCAUCUCUCCAGCUGUAUUUUAUGGUUUUACAGGUGUUUAGUAGACUAGGUAACAUGCAUGCUCAGUUUUCAUGGAUCCUCCCUUCUGUUCCCUUCAAAAACAUUGAUUUUAUUUUCUGUGUGUACUUGUGUGCCUGAGGGCAUCAGUAAGUGAAGAAACCUAUGGAGGUCAGAGUCUCAGAACUAGCAUUGCAGAUGGUUAUGAGGUGCCAUGUGGGCUCUGGGAACUGAACCUAGUCUUCUGCAAGAGCAGCAAGCAUUCUUACAGGCUAAGCCACGCCUCCAGUCUCCCCAUACAUCCUUUUUGUCUUUUCUUAUGGAUUAAAUCAUGUCACCUCCAACUUCACGCACUAAGGCUGGAAUCUGCAGUACCUCCGGUGAUCUUUCAAUAUAUAAUGUUGAUCUUAAUGCUGAGGUCAUACUGGAGUGAGCUCCAAUCAACAUGGCUAGCAUCCUCAUACAGGGGAAAUCUGGGCACAGGAAUGCACAGCAAGAACAUAUAUGAAGAUGAACACGGAGACACACAGGAAGAAUACAAAGGUAGACACAGGCAUGCACAGGAACAAUGCACAAGAAGAUACUUGGAUGUGUGCACCAAGGCAGUGCUGAGCUGGAUCCUUGGUAACAGGAAAGAAAAACCUGAGAAAACGGAGUCAGGCUUUAUAGCACUACUGCACCUGGUCAGGAAACUCCCUGCAGCCUGCCUUCUGACUUAGAGAACCUCCAACGUCACCAGUCACUCACACCUGCUCCCUUCCCCAACAAAAGGUUCUUCAGUGUGUCCAUUUCUCUCCGGGAUGAACUGGAUCAUGAAGGAAGGGACAACAGAUGGCAGUGUGACUUCUUCAAAGAUCAUCACCCCUUUGGAAAUGCAGUCUCCCCUUCCCCCAAUGUCACUG